GUGGAUUACUUGUGGAUUAUUGUGAUGUUUUUAUCAGCUGUUUGGACUCUCAUUCUGACGGCACCCAUUCACUGCAGAGCAUCCAUUGCUGAGACACUGAUGCAGUGCUACAUUUCUCCAAACCUGAUGAAGAAACACACUCAUCCUAAUCUGGGAUGGCCUGAGGAUGAGCACGUUUACAGCACAUUUUAAUGUUUGGCUGAACUACUGGUUUAAGACAGUGAGUGUAAAGCAGAGGCUGAAUGCUGAGCUGACAGAACCGCAUUUCUGCACCACACAUGCAUCCAUGUGCAUUCACACACACACACACACACACUCACUCUCGCACAUGCACAAACACACGUGCACUCACGCUCACACACUCACGCUCACACACGCACGCUCACACACGCACGCUCACACACACACUCACACUCUCACACACACUCGCACUCUCACACACACUCGCACUCUCACACACACUCGCACUCUCACACACACUCGCACUCUCACACACACUCGCACUCUCACACACACUCGCACUCUCACACACACUCGCACUCUCACACACACUCGCACUCUCACACACACUCGCACUCUCACACACACUCGCACUCUCACACACACUCGCACUCUCACACACACUCGCACUCUCACACACACUCGCACUCUCACACACACUCGCACUCUCACACACACUCGCACUCUCACACACACUCGCACUCUCACACACACUCGCACUCUCACACACACUCGCACUCUCACACACACUCGCACUCUCACACACACUCGCACUCUCACACACACUCGCACUCUCACACACACUCGCACUCUCACACACACUCGCACUCUCACACACACUCGCACUCUCACACACACUCGCACUCUCACACACACUCGCACUCUCACACACACUCGCACUCUCACACACACUCGCACUCUCACACACACUCGCACUCUCACACACACUCGCACACACACACACACUCACUCACACUCUCACACACACUCACACUCUCACACACACUCGCACUCUCACACACACUCGCACACACACACACACACGCACAACCACACACAGACGCUCGCACACACUCACACACACUCACACACACACACACUCACACUCGCACUCACACGCACAACCACACGCACACGCAACACUAUUGUUUUUGCCCCCAUUUUUCAUGAGCUGAACUCAAAGAUCUAAGACUUU
rnacentral:lncRNA from 1 species